rfam:Candidate division Zixibacteria bacterium SM23_73_2 WORSMTZ_42904, whole genome shotgun sequence.
GGCGGUGUAGCUCAGUCGGUUAGAGCAGCGGAAUCAUAAUCCGCGUGUCGGGGGUUCGAAUCCCUCCACCGCUA